rnacentral:rRNA from 1 species
AUUUUAACUUUUCGGAAUUAUUGGGCGUAAGCGCGCGCAGGCGGUUCCUUAAGUCUGAUGUGAAAGCCCCCGGCUCAACCGGGGAGGGUCAUUGGAAACUGGGGAACUUGAGUGCAGAAGAGGAGAGCGGAAUUCCACGUGUAGCGGUGAAAUGCGUAGAGAUGUGGAGGAACACCAGUGGCGAAGGCGGCUCUCUGGUCUGUAACUGACGCUGAGGCGCGAAAGCGUGGGGAGCGAACAGGAUUAGAUACCCUGGUAGUCCACGCCGUAAACGAUGAGUGCUAAGUGUUAGAGGGUUUCCGCCCUUUAGUGCUGCAGCAAACGCAUUAAGCACUCCGCCUGGGGAGUACGGCCGCAAGGCUGAAACUCAAAGGAAUUGACGGGGGCCCGCACAGGCGGUGGAGCAUGUGGUUUAAUUCGAAGCAACGCGAAGAACCUUACCAGGUCUUGACAUCCUCUGACAACCCUAGAGAUAGGGCGUUCCCCUUCGGGGGACAGAGUGACAGGUGGUGCAUGGUUGUCGUCAGCUCGUGUCGUGAGAUGUUGGGUUAAGUCCCGCAACGAGCGCAACCCUUGAUCUUAGUUGCCAGCAUUCAGUUGGGCACUCUAAGGUGACUGCCGGUGACAAAACCGGAGGAAGGUGGGGGAUGACGUC